rnacentral:rRNA from 1 species
AACGAACGCUGGCGGCAUGCCUAACACAUGCAAGUCGAACGAGACCUUCGGGUCUAGUGGCGCACGGGUGCGUAACGCGUGGGAACCUGCCCUUAGGUUCGGAAUAACUCCCCGAAAGGGGUGCUAACACCGGAUAAUGUCUUCGGACCAAAGAUUUAUCGCCUUUGGAUGGGCCCGCGUUGGAUUAGCUAGUUGGUAGGGUAAAAGCCUACCAAGGCGACGAUCCAUAGCUGGUCUGAGAGGAUGGUCAGCCACACUGGGACUGAGACACGGCCCAGACUCCUACGGGAGGCAGCAGUGGGGAAUAUUGGACAACGGGCGGAGGCCUGAUCCAGCAAUGCCGCGUGAGUGAUGAAGGCCUUAGGGUUGUAAAGCGCUUGUACCCGGGAUGAUAAUGACAGUACCGGGAGAAUAAGCUCCGGCUAACUCCGUG